GACGAACGCUGGCGGCGUGCUUAACACAUGCAAGUCGAACGGAAAGGCCUCGUUCGGGUGGUACUCGAGUGGCGAACGGGUGAGUAACACGUGAGUAACCUGCCCUUUACUUUGGGAUAACUUCAGGGAACUGGGGCUAAUACCGGAUAGGAGCUCCUGCUGCAUGGGGGGGGUGGGAAAGUUUCGGCGGUUGGGGGUGGACUCGCGGCUUAUCAGCGUGUUGGUGGGGUAGUGGCUUACCAAGGCUUUGACGGGUAGCCGGCCUGAGAGGGUGACCGGCCCAAUUGGGGAUGAGAUAAGGCCCAGAAUCCUACGGGGGGCAGCCGGGGGGAAUAUUGCACAAUGGGUGGAAGCCUGAUGCAGCAACGCCGUGGGGGGGAUGACGGCCUUCGGGUUGUAAAACGCCUUCGCUCAUGACGAAGCUUUGUGUGACGGUAGUGGGUAAAGAAGCACCGGCUAACUACGUG
rnacentral:rRNA from 1 species